rnacentral:lncRNA from 1 species
UUACAUAGCUCACUCCCUACCCGGUAUCUAAUUCUACUGUUAUUCGACUCUACAUGCGUUGUUUGUUGGCAACCUUGUUAUUUACGAAGUUUUUGGAACGUUCCACAAAUUAUACCCACCCAAAACAACAUUUACGAGACAGACCGCACCCUGAAGAAUAAUUGGUUUUGCUAUGGACAAACAUUACAAAUAAACUUCGUGAACUGCCUUCGAUGUGCAGGCAUCAGAGGACACCGCUUGGUGAUUAUGCCCAUCUUCUUGGACUCUUCUGUCCCUCUAUCCUGUGUACGUAGUGUCGAGGGUGUCUCUAGAGUGACUUUCUUCAUGAUGAAGUCAAGGCUUUCGGUGUCCAGUCAUUAAAGUGGAUAACAGGUUAGUUUUGACUAUUGCGCUGAUAAGACAGCACCAUCUUUUUGAAGGUCCUAGAUUUGUUAAACAACAGGUUUAUAUUUUUACUAAAUUAAUGCAACAGGUUGAGAUGAUUAGAUUACCGGAAUUACUGAUUCCUUACACUGAGACAUUGACUACAUUUGCAACAGAAAAAAGUAUUACAUUUAGAGGUUACAGGAAACAUCUAAGGCAAAACCACUAUUCUAUAUGUUGUUGGACAUUGGUCUAGCAAUGAUGCCAGGAUAAUUUUACAUGGUUAUGGAAAAAAGAGACCUGUCAUAUAAAUGGGAGUUAAUCGUUAGACUCGGUGGCGAGAUACAUGUUGCAGUGUCUGAGGGUAGCACAUGCUAAAUUAAGUGCAAAUAAACAUAAACGUUGGGACACAUUAAAACAAAUGAUUUGAGGGAGUACAGUGGACUUAUCAGGUUUUGUUUGUAGUUUAAAACUUUUCAGUUGCUGAAUCGGUAUAGUGAAUGCUAACUAAAUGUGUUGUUUUUUUUCAGGGAAAAGUGGGGUUUCAUUUUCUCUUUGUAAUGUUUCCUGGGGCUCUGGUCUUGGGGAGUGCAAUGAGUGAGAUUGAGGCCAUAAACUACCAAAUUAAAAGGCCUGGCUAUUUUUGUUUGUUUUUAGCUUAGAGCUACCCCCCUUCUUUUUUAAAUUUCCGCCUGAAGACACCCAAAUCUAACAGCCUGUAGCUCAGGCACAGAACCAAGGAUAUGCAUAUUCUUGGUACCAUUUGAAAGAAAACACUCAGAAGUUUGUGUAAAUGUGAAUUGAAUGUAGGAGAAUAUAACACAAUAGAUCUGGUUUAGAUAAAGCAAUGAAAAAAAACAUACGUUUUUUAUUUUUUAUUUUUGUAUCAUCUUUAAAAUGAACAAGAUAAAACAAACAUUCAGAUAGGAUGAUGGGGUCAAUUUCAGUGAAAUAUAUAAGAGGGCAACAGUACUUGUGCAAAGUUUCAGAAUGAUAACUUCCAAAAUGAGUGUGCUUACAUGACAUUUAUCAUGAAGUCACCCAGGUGUCCCACACAAGUAGCCCAAAUGUACCCAAGUGGCCAAAUUGGUGAAGGUAUACAUUUUGAAACAAAUAACUAUAUACAAAAUACCAAAAUGGUCUUCUUAAGGAUCGGCGUCCCGUAAAUCAUGCAGCGUGUUAUGUCAAGAUCGCAGAUUUUAGAGAAACAACUAAUGUCGGUACAUAUAACUGUCUUAUGUCGGCUGAAAGCUUAAAUUCUUGUUAAUAUAACUGCACUGGCCAAUUUACAGUAGCUAUUACUGCGAAAAAAUGCCAUGCUAUUGUUUGAGGAGAGCUCCUAACAACUAAACACUUUUUUUCACCACGAUAGGUUUGAUAAAUUCACCUCUGAAGGUGAAAUGUAUAUAUAAAAAUCGGCCGAUUAAUGGGUAUCAUCCUUUUUUGGUCCUCCAAUAAUUGGUAUCGGCGUUGAAAAAUCAUAAUCGGUCGACCUCUAGUCUUAUGUCUAUUUUCCUAUGACGAUAUGGGUAUACUUUUUUCUUUAUGGAGUUAUGGGUAGUGUUUCUAUUUCUAGUUUGACCAGUAGUGUAUUAAUUAUUAUUAUUUA